rnacentral:lncRNA from 1 species
CUGCUGACCAAAAGUUAAGAGCAGACAUAAGAGUGACACGCUAGCUAAGCCAAGCUUUUCUCUAGAGGAGAAAAUGAAGAUGGUGAUAGGUUGACUUGAGUGGAGGAAGAGAAGAUUUGUCAUUUUCAAACUAAAUCCGCGAAAAUAUUUUCUCAUUAUUCUUAUCUUCUUAUGGAGUUUUUGCCCUUGUAUCUAAGUAAAGAAAAAGAUAUGACUACCAAAUAUUUAGGAUACUUAGAAAUAUUUUAUUACUACAUGUGAAUCUGAUAUUCUUUUCUCUUGCAUUUUUAUUUACAUCUUAAAUGUUAUCCCAUUUCUCUGUUUCCCCUCUAGAAACUGGCUAUCGCACUCCCACCCCUGCUUCUAUGAGGGUGUUCCCUCACCCUCCCACCUCCCCACCCUGACAUUGCCCUACACUGGGGCAUCAAGCCUUCACAGGACCAAGGGCCUCUCCUCCCAUUGAUACCUGACAAGGCCAUCCUCUGCUACAUAUGCAAUGGAGCCAUAGGUCCAUCCCUGUGUUCUCUUGGGAUGGUAGUUUAGUCCCUGGGACCUCUGGGGGGGGGGUCUGGCUGUUUGAUACUGUGUUCUUCUUAUGAAUCUGAUAUUCUUAAUAAAGUAUUGCUUUAGACUUUUCAGCGUAACAUUUAGAGGUUUGUUAUAGAAGGUUUCUUUGUACCAGGGUUCAUGGCUGAGAUAUUUCAGAAUUUCAUAUGUUAAAAUAUCAUUAAUAAAAGGAAUAAAGGAAGAACCAAGGUAAAACAGUCCUGAAAUGAUGGAACUAUUUAAAAGAAUGCCAACUCUUAGAGAAUACCCAUGGUCUAAAUGUACUUUUCUGCUUCCUUUCCUUUCUGCGGGGUCCUGAUCAUUAUGGCUAGGACCCCUCGGCUGACUUGGUCUUUCAAGAUCCUUAGUAGGUCAAACAGGAGCCAGUUUGUCUGGCCUUAACUGACUGGAUCCCCUAUUUAACCAGCAACUCUGGUCCUCAAGCCAAACCUUGUAUAUUAAGGGACACAGUCAUGUAUGCUUACUGCUUUGUUCCAUAUGAUUCUUGUUCUUCAAUACUCAGAAGAAUCAGUUGUAGGAAGGGAAGGGCCAGUAAUAAGAACUUCAGGUCAUACAGCUCUGUGUAUACAAAGCUUAACAAACUUGAGUAACUCCCAAGGUCCAAGUUACAUUCCCAAGAAAGGCACAACAGAAAUUUUCUCUCAUAAACACAUACUGUUCUCAUAAACUAAGCAUAAUACAUUUGCUCCUAUCCUGGGUCACAUGUCAUGGUAAGAUGUAUAGUAUGGCCAUCACAGGAAUUGUACUAGGACAGUUAAAGGACAGUCAGUCACUUUGCGGUCACUGUGUUUGACUGAAAAUGUAUAAUGUAUCUUACUGUUGAAAACAUAUGAGCUCUGUUUCAAUUAGUGUGUCAUCCUGUACUUUGUUCAAGGAAACCAGUUAGAUUCAUCGUAGGAUAGUUCGAGUUGGUUGAAACCCCACGUACAAAUGAAAUUUUAAGUCUAAAAGAUUCUUGUAUUUGAACGUAAGAAGCAUAAACUCUCCUGCUUUACUUUAUGUGCAGAAAUGAAACGUUCUAACAGUACAGAAGUGCUUCAUGGUAUGUCAACAGCUUACUUUCUAGUAAUGCUAGCCACCUUUUAAGCCCAGCAUGUUUCUUUUGUCUGCUCUUUAUAAAGAUCUCCGUUUUGUCUAAUGCUUUAAAUGUAACCCAAGACUUUAAGUGUGGAUUAUUUAAUGUGCUCCUGAAGAGGUUGUGGUUCCUGACAAAUGCUGUCAUUAUUUGUUGUGUCAAAUUCCAGUGGCUUCAGAAAUCAUAGCAUCCCAUAAUUUUGUGGUUUCUGGGUUUGCGCAGUGUUGUUGACAACUGUACUUAGUGAUUGUUCUGCACACUUUUCAAAUAAAAACACGUUUCUAUCAAGUA